GAAGGUCCGCGUGGGCGUCUGGUGGGCACUGAGGCUUGCAGAGACUUGAGGUGUGGAGGGCAGAGCCAGGGAGGAGCGAGCAUGUCUUAGGACCUGACAGCCAGGCGGCUGGCACCGCCAUCACCGCUAUCGCUGCUCCUGGUGUUGGUGCUGCUGUCCGGAGCUGGGGCUCUGCGUCCUGAAGAGCUUUUUCCUUACGGGGAGUCGUGGGGAGACCGACUGCCACAGGAGGGCGACGAUGAGAGCUCUGCCUCUGAAGCUAGCAGUACCUCUCCGCUUCUACCUUGUCCAGUUCAGCAACCUCUACAUAAGUUCAGCUCCCAGAGGUGCGCGGCUUGGUGUGGGGUCGUAGUUUCUUCCCAGAGUGUGGAGCAGCUAACCUCCAUGUUUAACUGUCAUCGCCGCUGGGGACCAGGCUUAGCAGUGGCGCUGCAGCUUCUUGAUCCCUACUGUGGAGGAAAAAGGAUCAUUUCAAGGGAGAGCUGGAACCGUCCCUGUCUACUUCGACUUCACAAGCAGAAAGAUGAAGUUGAGGCGGCUAGUGCGGUUUGCGUUUAGGGGCGGUGGGAGGCUGUGCAUGCAGGCAUAGCAAUCUUAUUAAGGACACGGCGCCCAAGGUGUGCAGUUGUGGAGAAAGAUGAGCGGGUUCGAGAGCGGCCGCACCUGUGGGUCGCAGUGCACUUGAGGACUGUCGCUAAAGUUGAGUUGGUUACCCUGGAUGUGUCUCAACCUGCAAAGAGCCAAGGGAUUCUUCUUGACUCUAGUAGAACUAGGACCUUAGUCAUUGCCCCAUUCCUGGCUGACAUCCACUCGAGUCACAGCAGUGGCCAGAUCCUGUAUGGAGGACACCUCCUGGGCUGUGCUGAGUCUGGCUGCUUGCUACCUGUGCACAGGCUUCCUGCUGACCGGGUCCAGCUUCCCCCCUACCCACUUCUUCCUGGCCACCUGGGAGCAAGUGGGCCCCUAGGAGGAGGACAGUCUUGGGGCUGCGUGGUCUGGAGAGCUUAACACUUUCCAGGCAGUUCUGGCAUCUGAUGAAUGUGAUUCCUAUGUCCUCUUUCUCUAUCCUGCCAAUGGUCUUCACUUUUUGGAACUCGCCCCAAAGAAUCCUACAGUGUCCAGCUGCAGCUUCCUGCUAAGGUGGGCUUCUGCCAAGGGGAAGCAGAUGACCUGAAGAGAAAAGCCCUGUAUUUCAGCCUGACUAACAGUGAGCAAUCGGUGAAGAAUCUCUACCAGUGACUAAUGUGGAGUGUGUGACUGUGCUAUGCACUGGAAGGACAUUUAGGAGGGACACUAUCUCUAGUGGCCAGAAACCAUUUGAUAAUAACCUUUGGUGGCUUCUAAGAAAGGCUCUGGUUCAAAACCAAGAGCUAAGCUGGCCCUCUGGAGCUUCAGGGUCUCCAAGAUGUAAAAGAUUCUUUCUUUUUCCUGCACUAUCUGUCAGGCAUAGAAACCAGAACCAGCAGUGAUUAUAUGUUUUUGCAGAACUACUGGGGCUUGCUGUGAAAAACAUUGUUCUUGGGGCUACACAAAAAUAUCCAGUCAUAACUAACUGCCUCAGUGGAAGCUUUUCAGGUUAAUGAUUUCCGGAGAGGAGGCAUCAUGAUUCAGUCUUUCAAACAGGUAUUGUUAAGGAUUAAAUUAUGAGUACUAUAAUGGGGGGGAGGUAGAUGAGGCUUUUAGUCGUCUCAGAUUUCUCCUGGCAUCAUCACCUGAAAUCAUGCUGAUUGGUUUACCCACAGCGUUGCCAGAGACAAAUCCAUUUCUUAGUCUCCCCAGUGGGUUAUUCUGCUAGUGCUGCAGUAGGCUAUUCUGCAGGUGUCUGUCCAGUUGGUGCUCCUAUGAGACUAUUGACUUCAGGUGGGCUCUUUUUUCUUUGUAUUCUGCAAUACAAGCUUAGCCCAUAGUAGUUACUUUGUGGCUCCCCAUAGUUACUUCUCAGUCAAACUAAAACUAGAUCGUGGGCAGAUAGAGUGAUAGAGCAAAAAUUUGCUGAUCACUUUAUCUGCAGGGCAUUGUGAUAAAACACUUGCAGAUAUUAUCUUAAAACUCUCUCAACUUAUAGGCGGUAAGUAUAACUAUCUUCCCAGUUUUACAAAUAGUCUUACCGAAAUUAUAAAACGUGCUUAUGUCAGAGUUAAAUGGCUGAGCCAUAGUCAAUACAGCUCUGAAGUAUGGAUACAGGGGUGAUCUCUUAUGCAGAGUAGAUAGGGUGUUUCUUACUUGGAUUUCAUGUUACCUGGUUGUUUGUAUUUUGGUUCAUUUUAUCAGUCACUCCAGUUACAGCUCAUUCUGCCCCUCUCCCACAAUUUUGAUAUUUCUGGAAAGCAUCAAAGGAGACAGUGAAGAACCGGAGUGAAUGGAUGACAGUUUUUGUGUGUGC
rnacentral:lncRNA from 1 species